rnacentral:rRNA from 1 species
UACAGAGGUCCCAAGCGUUGUUCGGAUUCACUGGGCGUAAAGGGCGCGUAGGCGGGAUGGCAAGUCAGUCGUGAAAUCUCUCGGCUCAACCGAGAAACGUCGGCUGAUACUGCCGUUCUUGAGGGAUGCAGAGGAGACUGGAAUUCCCGGUGUAGCGGUGAAAUGUGUAGAGAUCGGGAGGAACACCGGUGGCGAAGGCGGGUCUCUGGGCAUUUCCUGACGCUGAGGCGCGAAAGCGUGGGGAGCAAACGGG